rnacentral:pre_miRNA from 1 species
AAAAAGACAAACUCUAAAUUUCCGUGUCCAACGUUUGACUGUCCGUCUUACUUGAAAAAAUUAAAAAGACAAGUCACACAUAAAUUAUUAAUCAUGUUUUAUCAUCUAACAACAAUAAAAAUACCAAUUAUAAAAAAAUUCAUAUAAGACGGACAAUCAAACGUUGGAUACGAAAACCAGGGUUUGUCUUUUU